rnacentral:rRNA from 1 species
UACGAAGGGGGCUAGCGUUGUUCGGAAUUACUGGGCGUAAAGCGCGCGCAGGCGGCUAUCCAAGUCAGUGGUGAAAGCCCGGAGCUCAACUCCGGAACUGCCAUUGAAACUGUUUAGCUUGAGGAUGAGAGAGGUGAGUGGAAUUCCCAGUGUAGAGGUGAAAUUCGUAGAUAUGCGGAGGAACACCGAUGGCGAAGGCAAUCCCCUGGGCCUGCACUGACGCUCAUGCACGAAAGCGUGGGGAGCAAACAGG